rnacentral:rRNA from 1 species
CUAAACUCGGCAAAUUCACUCCGUACGUUCGCAAGAAGGAGUGCCGGCGAAAGCCGGCCGCAGUGAAGAGGCCCAACCGACUGUUUACUAAAAACACAGUUCUGUGCAAACUCGCAAGAGGAAGUAUACGGAAUGAUGCCUGCCCGGUGCUCGAAGGUUAAGGGGAGAGGUCAGCCGCAAGGCGAAGCUUCGAACUCAAGCCCGAGUAAACGGCGGCCGUAACAAUGACGGUCCUAAGGUAGCGAAAUUCCUUGUCGGGUAAGUUCCGACCUGCAUGAAAGGCAUAACGAGUUGGGCACUGUCUCAACCAGAGACUCGGUGAAAUUGCAAUAUCGGCGGAGAUACCGAUUACCCGCAGCAGGACGAAAAGACCCCGUGGACCUUCACUGCAGCCUUAUACUGUGUUUCUGUGGUUCAUACGUAGGAUAGGUGGGAGACUUUGAACUCGAGGUUCCGGCUUCGAGGGAGUCACCGGUGAAAUACCACUUUUGAACCAUGGGAAUUCUAACCUGAGCUUUGAACGCUCGGGGACACUGUAAGGCGGGCAGUUUGGCUGGGGCGGCUUCCUCCCAAAGAGUAACGGAGGAGCACAAAGGUCGGCUCAGUACGGUUGGCAAUCGUACGUGGAGUGCACGAGCACAAGCCGGCUUGACUGCGAGACUUAUAAGUCGAGCAGAUGCGAAAGCAGGUUCGAGCGAUCCGGUGGUCCCUCGUGGACGGGCCAUCGCUCAACAGAUAAAAGGUACCCCGGGGAUAACAGGCUGAUCUCCCCCAAAAGUCCCUAUCGACGGGGAGGUUUGGCACCUCGAUGUCGGCUCAUCGCAUCCUGGAGCUGGAGAAGGUUCCAAGGGUAUGGCUGUUCGCCAUUUAAAGCGGUACGCGAGCUGGGUUUAAACCGUCGUGAGACAGGUUGGCCUCUAUCCGCUGUGGGCGUAGGACAAUUGACGGGACUUAUCAUUAGUACGAGAGGAUUAUGAUGAACGUCGCUCUGGUGUACCGGUUGUCGCACUCGCGGCAGCGCCGGGUAGCCACCGACGGACGGGAUAAACGCUGAAAGCAUCUAAGCGUGAAGCCCACCCGAAGAUGAAUUGUCCCUAUGAGUGCCCUGGAAGACCACCAGGUUGAUAGGUCGGAGGUGUACGCCCGUAUAUCCAAAGGGGCUCAGCUGACCGAUACUAAUCGCACCAUUGGCUUGGUAAG